CCCCGUUCAGGCAGGUACGGGCAGGGGGCAUCGUGAGAGGAAGUGGGCUCGUGACGUACGGUGCCAAAGACAUGGUCAUGAGGUGAUCCCAUGUGUGAAGCCUGCCACUCACUGGUUUCUGUUGGGGAGGCAGAUGUCAGAGUCAGCUGCAGCUGCAGAAGAACUGGUCAUGUAUACAGAGGAGGAGGGGUGACCUGGCCACAUGAGCACAUGAGCAUUUAGAUGCCAUCCAGCCAUGUCCUGUGCUGCAGAGUGGCAUGGAAGAAACAACCCUUGACACUGGCCUUGAAGUUGCCAUGACUGAUCUCACAGGUAAAGCGUAAGAGGAAGCUGGGCGUUGUGUUCCUUUCCUCCCUACAUCAAUU